GACGAACGCUGGCGGCGUGCUUAACACAUGCAAGUCGAACGGUAAGGCUCCAGCUUGCUGGGGUACACGAGUGGCGAACGGGUGAGUAACACGUGGGUGACCUGCCCUGCACUUCGGGAUAAGCCUGGGAAACUGGGUCUAAUACCGGAUAGGACCGCACCGUGAGGGUGUGGAGGAAAGUUUUUUCGGUGUGGGAUGGGCCCGCGGCCUAUCAGCUUGUUGGUGGGGUAAUGGCCUACCAAGGCGGCGACGGGUAGCCGGCCUGAGAGGGUGGACGGCCACAUUGGGACUGAGACACGGCCCAGACUCCUACGGGAGGCAGCAGUGGGGAAUAUUGCACAAUGGGCGGAAGCCUGAUGCAGCGACGCCGCGUGGGGGAUGACGGCCUUCGGGUUGUAAACUCCUUUCACCAUCGACGAAGGGUUUCUGACGGUAGAUGGAGAAGAAGCACCGGCUAACUACGUGCCAACAGCCGCGGUAAUACGUAGGGUGCGAGCGUUGUCCGGAAUUACUGGGCGUAAUGAGCUCGUAGGUGGUUUGUCGCGUCGUCUGUGAAAUUCCGGGGCUUAACUCCGGGGCGUGCAGGCGAUACGGGCAUAACUUGAGUACUGUAGGGGAGACUGGAAUUCCUGGUGUAGCGGUGAAAUGCGCAGAUAUCAGGAGGAACACCGGUGGCGAAGGCGGGUCUCUGGGCAGUAACUGACGCUGAGGAGCGAAAGCAUGGGGAGCGAACAGGAUUAGAUACCCUGGUAGUCCAUGCCGUAAACGGUGGGCGCUAGGUGUGGGUUUCCUUCCACGGGAUCCGUGCCGUAGCUAACGCAUUAAGCGCCCCGCCUGGGGAGUACGGCCGCAAGGCUAAAACUCAAAGGAAUUGACGGGGGCCCGCACAAGCGGCGGAGCAUGUGGAUUAAUUCGAUGCAACGCGAAGAACCUUACCUGGGCUUGACAUAUACAGGAUCGCGCCAGAGAUGGUGUUUCCCUUGUGGCUUGUAUACAGGUGGUGCAUGGUUGUCGUCAGCUCGUGUCGUGAGAUGUUGGGUUAAGUCCCGCAACGAGCGCAACCCUUGUCUUAUGUUGCCAGCACGUUGUGGUGGGGACUCGUAAGAAACUGCCGGGGUUAACUCGGAGGAAGGUGGGGAUGACGUCAAAUCAUCAUGCCCCUUAUGCCCAGGGCUUCACACAUGCUACAAUGGUCGGUACAGUGGGUUGCCAGUCCGUGAGGGCGAGCUAAUCCCGCAAAGCCGGUCUCAGUUCGGAUCGGAGUCUGCAACUCGACCCCGUGAAGUCGGAGUCGCUAGUAAUCGCAGAUCAGCAACGCUGCGGUGAACACAAUCCCGGGCCU
rnacentral:rRNA from 1 species